rnacentral:rRNA from 1 species
GUGGGGAAUCUUCCGCAAUGGACGAAAGUCUGACGGAGCGACGCCGCGUGAGUGAAGAAGGCCUUCGGGUCGUAAAGCUCUGUCAUCAGGGACGAACGGCCGGUGGAGUGGAAAGCCACCGGAUUGACGGUACCUGAGAAGGAAGCCACGGCUAACUACGUGCCAGCAGCCGCGGUAAUACGUAGGUGGCAAGCGUUGUCCGGAAUUAUUGGGCGUAAAGCGCGCGCAGGUGGGAUCUUAAGUCCAUUUUGAAAGUUCGGAGCUCAACGACGUGAUGGGAUGGAAACUGGGAUUGUUGAGUACCGGAGAGGAAAGCGGAAUUCCCCGUGUAGCGGUGAAAUGCGUAGAUAUGGGGAGGAACACCAGUGGUGAAGGUGGCUUUCUGGACGGUGUCUGACACUGAGGCGCGAAAGCCAGGGGAGCGAACGGGAUUAGAUACCCGUGUAGUCC